rnacentral:rRNA from 1 species
GGUGUUUGGCUCGCCAGAUAUAGUCUGGUCCGUAAGCAAAUCGACUGCCUGCCUGUGUAACAGGCAGGUAAGCUUUUGUCGCGGGGUCCCGGAUCAACCCGGGCUAGAUAGCCACUUAACUAUAUACUUUUUAUAAAAUCUGUGAACUUACUAGGUUGGAUUCUCGCCAGAGAUAGUCUGGUUUCUGCUUCGCGGAUCGCCUACCCGUGACACCUGUCACAGGCAGGUAUGCUUCUGCCGCGGGUCCGUAAGUAAAUCAUCUGUUUCGCAAGGGACGGCGAUUUACCUGUGGAAGAGGUCCGCUAACUAUAUUCUUAGUAUAGUUUGUUCACUAGAUCAAACAUUCUGAAUAAAAACUUAAACUAGUUAAAACUUUCAACAACGGAUCUCUUGGUUCUGGCAUCGAUGAAGAACGCAGCGAAAUGCGAUAAGUAAUGUGAAUUGCAGAAUUCAGUGAAUCAUCGAAUCUUUGAACGCACAUUGCGCCCAUUAGUAUUCUAGUGGGCAUGCCUGUUCGAGCGUCAUUUCAACCCUUAAGCCCCUGUUGCUUAGCGUUGGGAGCCUACAGCCUGCUGUAGCUCCUUAAAGGUAGUGGCGGAGUCGGUUCACACUCUAGACGUAGUAAAAUCUUUAUCUCGCCUAUGGAUGAGCCGGCGCCUUGCCGUAAAACCCCUAAUCUUUCACAAGGUUGACCUCGGAUCAGGUAGGAAUACCCGCUGAACUUAAGCAUAUCAAUAAGCGGAGGAAAAGAAACCAACAGGGAUUGCCCUAGUAACGGCGAGUGAAGCGGCAACAGCUCAAAUUUGAAAUCUGGCCUUCGGGUCCGAGUUGUAAUUUGCAGAGGAUGCUUUGGGCGCGGUGCCUUCCGAGUUCCCUGGAACGGGACGCCUUAGAGGGUGAGAGCCCCGUACGGUUGGACACCAAGCCUCUGUAAAGCUCCUUCGACGAGUCGAGUAGUUUGGGAAUGCUGCUCUAAAUGGGAGGUAAAUUUCUUCUAAAGCUAAAUAUUGGCCAGAGACCGAUAGCGCACAAGUAGAGUGAUCGAAAGAUGAAAAGCACUUUGAAAAGAGGGUUAAAUAGCACGUGAAAUUGUUGAAAGGGAAGCGUUUGCGACCAGACCUUUUCCCAGCGGAUCAUCCGGUGUUCUCACCGGUGCACUUCGCUGGGUUGAGGCCAGCAUCGGUUUCCGCAGGGGGAUAAAAGCCUGGGGAACGUAGCUCCCUCGGGAGUGUUAUAGCCCCUCGCAUAAUACCCUUGCGGGGACCGAGGACCGCGCU